GUCAACAGAUUUUUUAAUACUCUACAGUUCAGCUGAAAAAGUUGGUGUGGGAUUUGGGUAUCUUUGGUUACAUUAACUCCACCAGACCAGCUGCUACUGUCCCUGUGCAUGCAGAGCAGGAAACACUGAGGUGACAGAAGGGUCACCUCCUUGCCACCAAUCAAGCACCACCCUGCUACUAUCACUCACAGCUGAGAGCUGUCAGGCUCCCUGUGGUUACACUCACUCUUUCAGUUUCUUUUGGCUUUGGAGACCAAAAAUCGGUUUAUUAUUUUCACUUUCAGAUCCCCAAGUGGAAAAACCUCUGAACUGCAUUAAAACAGAGGUAAUGAAGCUACAAGCCAGGUUUUCAGCCAGAUAAGGGAGAAGGAUGACAAGAAGCAGACCCUGAGGAGGUAGGAUGGUGUUUUUAUCAUGGCAAUUGUCCUCCCUUACAACUGGCUCAGUGUAGAACUCCCACCCCUCACCCCUAGAGAAGGUCACAUUCACACCUGAGGGUUUUCAUCCCUUCUGAUGGGCUAAAACAGCCUCAACUUCCCUGAUGUGAGAGGCAGCUGAGAAGAGGUGAUAAACCAUCAAAGACCCCCUGAAGUGUCUCCAGACUCAUUCCUGAGGCCUUCCACCACAGAACUGAAAGCUCCCCCCUGCCAGGUAGCUGGGCAUUCCCACACAGCCUGAGCAUAUUUUAACUCGCUGGACUUUUUGUUUGGGGGCUUUUCCCCCCACACCCAAUGGAUGAAGAUUAUGACCAUCAUUUCAACAAACAGACAUCAAAAUAGCAACAAUAAAAUCUUGUCCCUGGAUCCAUGGGAGAUGUUUGUGUAUUAGGAUUUCACCAUGUACGUGGACUCCCAAAUGCUGUUGAGAUUUGGCUGCUUUGAAGUUGCUCUCAGUUAUGCUACCAAGGUGGUCUGAGGCAUGGAGCACACACCUUCAGGAAGGGAUUCACACCUUGUGGAAGGCAUUCAGACGUGUUGAGUCUGGCCAAAGGGAGGCUGAAGGGCAGCCCAACAGUCGCCUACAGCUACUCAAAAGGUCAAGAACACCAAAGCUGAGCUCUUUGUGGCAGUGUCAGGCGCUGUAACAAAGGGCAGCACCCACAGACUGGUUUGGGAGGUUGCACAGCAGGAUAAAAAUUGCCUCUAGGCAUCUACUACAGCACUGGAACAGGUUGUUGGGAAAUGACAAAUGAUGAAUUGUAGAGGUGACUCAAGGCUCAGCCUCAUGAAAACACAGGUGAAUUAGAGUCCUGCGGCUGAUGGUGCCAAACAGCAUUUCUUUGAUCCUAUGGUAGAUAUAUCUCCCAGCUUCUCCCAUUCCACCCCACCCUGGCCUGCCACACUCAGAUAUUGCCUGGAAAAUUAUGGUAACACAGGCCAAAUUCUCUGGUCCUGAGAGCUGUACUUUUAAGUCUUUCUAUAGCCCAAAGUCAUAAAAAACACACCACAUACCUCAGAGAGACAGGAGGAGGACACACUUCCAGAAUCCUGGGUCAGACUCUUCUGGGGAAAAGACAGCAACUAGAUGAGACCCCAGCCACUCAUCUCUUUCCCUAAGGAGAGACUGAUCUUUUUCAACAGUGUCUGCACCAGUUAGAUUCCUCUGCUAGCCAUCCCCACACUUAAAUAAAUACAAGCUUUGCUACGGCACAUUAGUUAUGCUGAGGGUAAUUAGCAGUUACGUCAACAUGAUUUCCAGUUUGACUGCUGGCUGACUCCACGUGGAAAUGAGGUUGUUGAUUGGACAAGGGUUGUUGAUUGCAAGAGGAAAUUAUGUUAGACCAGGCUUCAGAGGAAGAGCCUUGUUGCUCAUGAGGAAGAGCAGCCCUUGUGCUCAGUGCCUUUGGUCGUCUCUGCUGGGCUUGGCAUCCCCUGGAUGUGGCAGGGAAGGGGGGCCCAGCUGUGUGCAGUGGGCAAU